UACGUAGGGUGCAAGCGUUAAUCGGAAUUACUGGGCGUAAAGAGCUCGUAGGCGGUUUGUCGCGUCUGCUGUGAAAACCCGAGGCUCAACCUCGGGCCUGCAGUGGGUACGGGCAGACUAGAGUGCGGUAGGGGAGAUUGGAAUUCCUGGUGUAGCGGUGGAAUGCGCAGAUAUCAGGAGGAACACCGAUGGCGAAGGCAGGUCUCUGGGCCACUACUGACGCUGAGAAGCGAAAGCAUGGGGAGCGAACAGG
rnacentral:rRNA from 1 species